GAUGCCAUUUGCAUGAUCCAAGGCCUUCCCUGCAAAAGGCUGUUGGAAGUCUCGUUCUCGAUCACGGAGCAAAUUACUUCUGUCUUAAGAUCUGCAAUCUGGCACUUGAGGCGAAUCUUGCCCAUAGCUUUCUGAGACUCAGCGUUGUACCCUGGGUCUUAAUGCUGUUCAGCUUCCUGGUGGAUAAGAACUGCAAUCUGGCACUUGAGGCGAAUCUUGCCCAUAGCUUUCUGAGACUCAGCGUUGUACCCUAGGUCUUAAUGCUGUUCAGCUUCCUGGUGGGAAUCCCGAGCUUCCUUACCGUUUUUAGGGGUAUAACAUUUAUAGCUGACCCCGGAUCUACUUGCACUUGUCGGAGUUUUACUUCACCAAUAUAUCCUGAAAGGUACAGUGGACGAUUAUGGUGAAGGUCCCCUAGCAACAAAAAAGUCUUCU
rnacentral:lncRNA from 1 species